rnacentral:rRNA from 2 species
GCAGUCGACGAACUCUGGUAUUGAUUGGUGCUUGCAUCAUGAUUUACAUUUGAGUGAGUGGCGAACUGGUGAGUAACACGUGGGAAACCUGCCCAGAAGCGGGGGAUAACACCUGGAAACAGAUGCUAAUACCGCAUAACAACUUGGACCGCAUGGUCCGAGCUUGAAAGAUGGCUUCGGCUAUCACUUUUGGAUGGUCCCGCGGCGUAUUAGCUAGAUGGUGGGGUAACGGCUCACCAUGGCAAUGAUACGUAGCCGACCUGAGAGGGUAAUCGGCCACAUUGGGACUGAGACACGGCCCAAACUCCUACGGGAGGCAGCAGUAGGGAAUCUUCCACAAUGGACGAAAGUCUGAUGGAGCAACGCCGCGUGAGUGAAGAAGGGUUUCGGCUCGUAAAACUCUGUUGUUAAAGAAGAACAUAUCUGAGAGUAACUGUUCAGGUAUUGACGGUAUUUAACCAGAAAGCCACGGCUAACUACGUGCCAGCAGCCGCGGUAAUACGUAGGUGGCAAGCGUUGUCCGGAUUUAUUGGGCGUAAAGCGAGCGCAGGCGGUUUUUUAAGUCUGAUGUGAAAGCCUUCGGCUCAACCGAAGAAGUGCAUCGGAAACUGGGAAACUUGAGUGCAGAAGAGGACAGUGGAACUCCAUGUGUAGCGGUGAAAUGCGUAGAUAUAUGGAAGAACACCAGUGGCGAAGGCGGCUGUCUGGUCUGUAACUGACGCUGAGGCUCGAAAGUAUGGGUAGCAAACAGGAUUAGAUACCCUGGUAGUCCAUACCGUAAACGAUGAAUGCUAAGUGUUGGAGGGUUUCCGCCCUUCAGUGCUGCAGCUAACGCAUUAAGCAUUCCGCCUGGGGAGUACGGCCGCAAGGCUGAAACUCAAAGGAAUUGACGGGGGCCCGCACAAGCGGUGGAGCAUGUGGUUUAAUUCGAAGCUACGCGAAGAACCUUACCAGGUCUUGACAUACUAUGCAAAUCUAAGAGAUUAGACGUUCCCUUCGGGGACAUGGAUACAGGUGGUGCAUGGUUGUCGUCAGCUCGUGUCGUGAGAUGUUGGGUUAAGUCCCGCAACGAGCGCAACCCUUAUUAUCAGUUGCCAGCAUUAAGUUGGGCACUCUGGUGAGACUGCCGGUGACAAACCGGAGGAAGGUGGGGAUGACGUCAAAUCAUCAUGCCCCUUAUGACCUGGGCUACACACGUGCUACAAUGGAUGGUACAACGAGUUGCGAACUCGCGAGAGUAAGCUAAUCUCUUAAAGCCAUUCUCAGUUCGGAUUGUAGGCUGCAACUCGCCUACAUGAAGUCGGAAUCGCUAGUAAUCGCGGAUCAGCAUGCCGCGGUGAAUACGUUCCCGGGCCUUGUACACACCGCCCGUCACACCAUGAGAGUUUGUAACACCCAAAGUCGGUGGGGUAACCUUUUAGGAACCAGCC